UUCAUUGAGACUUCGGUGGAUUUGAUCUAUUUCUAGUGGCGGACGGGUGAGUAACGCGUGGGUAACCUGCCUUAUACAGGGGGAUAACAGUCAGAAAUGGCUGCUAAUACCGCAUAAGCGCACAGAGCUGCAUGGCUCAGUGCGAAAAACUCCGGUGGUAUAAGAUGGACCCGCGUUGGAUUAGCUAGUUGGUGGGGUAACGGCCCACCAAGGCGACGAUCCAUAGCCGGCCUGAGAGGGUGAACGGCCACAUUGGGACUGAGACACGGCCCAGACUCCUACGGGAGGCAGCAGUGGGGAAUAUUGCACAAUGGGGGAAACCCUGAUGCAGCGACGCCGCGUGAAGGAAGAAGUAUCUCGGUAUGUAAACUUCUAUCAGCAGGGAAGAUAGUGACGGUACCUGACUAAGAAGCCCCGGCUAACUACGUGCCAGCAGCCGCGGUAAUACGUAGGGGGCAAGCGUUAUCCGGAUUUACUGGGUGUAAAGGGAGCGUAGACGGUGUGGCAAGUCUGAUGUGAAAGGCAUGGGCUCAACCUGUGGACUGCAUUGGAAACUGUCAUACUUGAGUGCCGGAGGGGUAAGCGGAAUUCCUAGUGUAGCGGUGAAAUGCGUAGAUAUUAGGAGGAACACCAGUGGCGAAGGCGGCUUACUGGACGGUAACUGACGUUG
rnacentral:rRNA from 1 species